rnacentral:lncRNA from 1 species
GAAUCUCUUACUAUAUAAUGAUUGGUUAGAAGACCUUGUCAUGUAGUGAUAUUUUGGCAGAUUUUUAUUUUUAUAGAACUUGUUUUCCAGACUACGUUCUUUACCAAUAUAUUCAAAAAUGACUAAUUACCUGUGAUGAUUUCAUAAUCAUACUUGGAAUAUGCAGAGGUAUAUAUAUAAUGUAUAUAUAAAAAAAAUAAUAAGGAUCACCACACGUUGUUUGUUUAUGGGUGAAUUGGUCCAGUUUACACACCAAUUAACUUAAACUGCAGAACAAAAUGUGUUUUAUCCUAUUAUGAUAUAUGUUUAAAAACAAAUAGGAGUUGCCUGAUCAGAUAGCACUAUAGAAUGGAAUAUUGGUUACAAGUCAACUAUACCAGUAAAGUUAAUUAUAAAAACUUUUUACCUGUCAUCAUUUAAAUCUUUUAAAUGAUGGUAUUUAUUAUCUCCCUUUGAUGGAGGAUAGAUCAUAGGUGAGCAACUUAUCCCAUCAUCCUAUACUUAAACAAAAAUGAAAGUUACUUUAUGGUCAGAUAUUACAUAGGCGGAUCCAGGGGAGGGACCUGCUGCCCCCCCUUUUCAUUAGAAAAAUUUAGUUGAUUAUACAGGGAAUCACUGGAGCAUGCCCCCUUAGGUCAGUAAGCAGGCCUUCCCUUACAAAAAGUUAUGGAUUCGCCACUGGAUAAUAUGUUUUUGUACAGCAUAAGAAUUUGUACUAUGCAUGCUUUUGAUAAUGGAAAUUGUGACUUCACAAUGCAUUCUUAAUUACACUAAAACCCAUGAGACAAGACACAAUGCAUUCUUAAUAGCACUAAAACCCAUGAGACAAGGGUAAUAAUUGAACAAUGGAAAUAAUUAAAUCUUACAUCAUAAAUGUAUACAAAAACAUAAUGUUAUGUAUGACUGCCACUAUUAACAUGUUUAUAUAUAUACUAUUUUUUAAACAGUCCCCAUAAAAAUUUGAUAAAAUGAAUGAAACAGCUGGUUGAACAAACAAAUGGUGCAGAAAAAAAUAUAAGAAGGGUUUUUGCCAUGAAUACAAAAUUGCAUGCCAUAGCACUUAUUUACGACUUUUUGUGCAGUGUACAAAUAUUAUUGUUUUGCUGACUUUACAAAACUUAAAAGACAAUUUUAAUAGAAUAAAAGUUAUUUGUACUAGAUGAUUAUAUUUUACAUGCUUUGUUAGAAUUUUAAACUUUUCCUAUUUUUAUAUUGAACAGAUCUAUAGAUAUAUCGAUCUCUUUUAAAGUAGCAGCAUAUAAUGAUGUUGAUUGUCUUUCUAAUUUUUUUAAACAUUCUAAUUCUCUUACAUACAUUAGCAUGGUUAGAAGAUAAAUUUACUCAUAUAUUUUUUGUUUUAAUAUUUUAUUUCCUUAUAAAGGAGAAUUUUUCAUUUUUAUGUUCGUAUGUUAUUUGUAUAUAUUAUUGUUACCUAGCUUGGACGAAAUUACGGAACGUAGCAAAUUUCUUGCAGUCAAAAAUUGAUUGUAUAUUUGUAUAUCCCCCCUUUUUGUAAAUAUAUUGUAAAAGUCCAUUGUAAAUCCUUUAUCUGAUAAAGGUACAUGUUGUUCUUAAAAGAAAAC